rnacentral:rRNA from 1 species
GACGAACGCUGGCGGCGUGCUUAACACAUGCAAGUCGAACGGAACUCUUUGGAUAGAGGCUUCGGCCAAUUGAAUCUGAGUUUAGUGGCGGACUGGUGAGUAACGCGUGAGGAACCUGCCUUUCAGAGGGGGACAACAGUUGGAAACGACUGCUAAUACCGCAUGAUGUAUCGAGAUCGCAUGGUCUUGAUACCAAAGAUUUUAUCGCUGAAAGAUGGCCUCGCGUCUGAUUAGCUAGUUGGUGGGGUAACGGCCCACCAAGGCGACGAUCAGUAGCCGGACUGAGAGGUUGACCGGCCACAUUGGGACUGAGAUACGGCCCAGACUCCUACGGGAGGCAGCAGUGGGGAAUAUUGGGCAAUGGACGCAAGUCUGAUCCAGCAACGCCGCGUGAAGGAAGAAGGCUUUCGGGUUGUAAACUUCUUUUAAGGGGGAAGAGUAGAAGACGGUACCCCUUGAAUAAGCCACGGCUAACUACGUGCCAGCCGCCGCCGUAACAC